rnacentral:rRNA from 1 species
CCUACGGGAGGCAGCAGUGGGGAAUCUUGCGCAAUGGGCGAAAGCCUGACGCAGCCACGCCGCGUGCGGGAUGAAGGCCCUAGGGUUGUAAACCGCUUUUAACAGGAACGAAAAUGACGGUACCUGUAGAAUAAGGUGCGGCCAACUACGUGCCAGCAGCCGCGGUGACACGUAGGCACCAAGCGUUGUCCGGAUUUAUUGGGCGUAAAGAGCUCGUAGGCGGUUCAGUAAGUCGGGUGUGAAAACUCUGGGCUUAACCCAGAGACGCCACUCGAUACUAUUGUGACUAGAGUUCGGUAGGGGAGCGGGGAAUUCCUAGUGUAGCGGUGAAAUGCGCGGAUAUUAGGAGGAACACCGGUGGCGAAGGCGCCGCUCUGGGCCGAUACUGACGCUGAGGAGCGAAAGCGUGGGUAGCAAACAGGACUAGAUACCCUGGUAGUCCACGCCGUAAACGGUGGGCACUAGGUGUGGGUUCCAACCAACGGAAUCCGCGCCGUCGCUAACGCAUUAAGUGCCCCGCCGUGGAGUACGGCCGCGAGUAAACUACAAGAGUAGUAGCGNGNGAGACGCGAACGACGACGACGAGGAGGAG